rnacentral:rRNA from 1 species
GAUGAACGCUGGCGGCGUGCCUAAUACAUGCAAGUCGAGCGAACGGACGAGAAGCUUGCUUCUCUGAUGUUAGCGGCGGACGGGUGAGUAACACGUGGAUAACCUACCUAUAAGACUGGGAUAACUUCGGGAAACCGGAGCUAAUACCGGAUAAUAUUUUGAACCGCAUGGUUCAAAAGUGAAAGACGGUCUUGCUGUCACUUAUAGAUGGAUCCGCGCUGCAUUAGCUAGUUGGUAAGGUAACGGCUUACCAAGGCAACGAUGCAUAGCCGACCUGAGAGGGUGAUCGGCCACACUGGAACUGAGACACGGUCCAGACUCCUACGGGAGGCAGCAGUAGGGAAUCUUCCGCAAUGGGCGAAAGCCUGACGGAGCAACGCCGCGUGAGUGAUGAAGGUCUUCGGAUCGUAAAACUCUGUUAUUAGGGAAGAACAUAUGUGUAAGUAACUGUGCACAUCUUGACGGUACCGAAUCAGAAAGCCACGGCUAACUACGUGCCAGCAGCCGCGGUAAUACGUACGUGGCAAGCGUUAUCCGGAAUUAUUGGGCGUAAAGCGCGCGUAGGCGGUUUUUUAAGUCUGAUGUGAAAGCCCACGGCUCAACCGUGGAGGGUCAUUGGAAACUGGAAAACUUGAGUGCAGAAGAGGAAAGUGGAAUUCCAUGUGUAGCGGUGAAAUGCGCAGAGAUAUGGAGGAACACCAGUGGCGAAGGCGACUUUCUGGUCUGUAACUGACGCUGAUGUGCGAAAGCGUGGGGAUCAAACAGGAUUAGAUACCCUGGUAGUCCACGCCGUAAACGAUGAGUGCUAAGUGUUAGGGGGUUUCCGCCCCUUAGUGCUGCAGCUAACGCAUUAAGCACUCCGCCUGGGGAGUACGACCGCAAGGUUGAAACUCAAAGGAAUUGACGGGGACCCGCACAAGCGGUGGAGCAUGUGGUUUAAUUCGAAGCAACGCGAAGAACCUUACCAAAUCUUGACAUCCUUUGACAACUCUAGAGAUAGAGCUUUCCCCUUCGGGGGACAAAGUGACAGGUGGUGCAUGGUUGUCGUCAGCUCGUGUCGUGAGAUGUUGGGUUAAGUCCCGCAACGAGCGCAACCCUUAAGCUUAGUUGCCAUCAUUAAGUUGGGCACUCUAAGUUGACUGCCGGUGACAAACCGGAGGAAGGUGGGGAUGACGUCAAAUCAUCAUGCCCCUUAUGAUUUGGGCUACACACGUGCUACAAUGGACAAUACAAAGGGCAGCGAAACCGCGAGGUCAAGCAAAUCCCAUAAAGUUGUUCUCAGUUCGGAUUGUAGUCUGCAACUCGACUACAUGAAGCUGGAAUCGCUAGUAAUCGUAGAUCAGCAUGCUACGGUGAAUACGUUCCCGGGUCU